AUUCGCGAGGGUGUGGUCAGGCGUCCGGCGUUCGCCCUCCGGCUGCUUCGCUCCCGUCCGGCCGCCAACCCCCUCCUGCUCCCCCGUUGUCCGCGCCGUUGGUUUGCAGCAUCUCUCGACCGCCGCACCCACCCACGGCCUCUAUUUCUACCCCGGCGACUUUGUUGGUCUUCGUGAUUCGGUACGUUUGUCCGUUUUUGCCUGGAUCCUCAUGUGUAUUGUAAGUUGAUUUAGUACUCCCUCCGUUCACUUUUGUAAGUCAUUUCAGACAACUCAAAAUAGGCUGUUUUGUACAUUGUCUGAAAUGUCUUCAAGGUCUUAUAAAAGUGAACAGAGGGAGUAGCAGAAUCGGUCUGCUCCAGCCAUUCAAGCCGCUAAGCCAAUUUCAGUGGCCUCUACAGCAGGCGGUUAUCAGUUGCUGGUUGUCCUCGCUCUGCAAGUAGCAGCCUCAAAUCUCAUGGUCACUGUUUUGUUGUUGUGAUGUAUUUUGGGUCAGCAAAGCAAAGCUAGAGUAGAUUGUCUUCAGAGUUUGUUGGUUGUAAUGUAGGAUCAGUGUUAAUCCUUUGUGCAGCAAGCUUAAUACUAGUAGGUGUUAAUCCUGCAGUUAGCAAGUACUAAGGCUCAGGUCUGCUGAAUCUAACAAGCUUAGGUUGGAUUCAGGGGGGCUUUGGUCUGUUCAUCUUUUCAGGGGGAGUAGUAAUUGUACAUGUAGUUUUCUAGUGGGCAGUAGUUCAUGUUCAGGGGGGGCUUGAUAUGGUUUUUCUCUGUUAGAUGUACUAUUCAGGAAUAGUAAGGGAUAUAUAUGUGAGAUUGCUGUACUUCUCCACUUAGUUUUUUUUUGUUAUUGUAAUUUUAGUGGAUUGUAAAUUGCAUUUCUUAGUGUAAUCCCUAGUGGAUUUACACUGUAAUUCUUAGUGGAUUUACACUGUAAUUAUAUUUGGAUUUGCACUGUAAUGUUCAUCGGAAUUCCAGUGCAUUUUCUUCGUGGUUUUUACACUGUAAUUAUGUUUGGAUUUACACUGUAAUUCUUAGUGGAUUUACACUGUAAUUAUAUUUGGAUUUGCACUAUAGUCUUCAUCGGAGUUCUAGUGUAUUUUCUUCGUGGUUUUGCACUGUAAUUAUAUUUGGACUUACACUGUAAUAUUCAUCGAAAUUCCAGUGUAUUUUCUUAGUGGAUUUAGACUUUAAUAAUAUUUAGAUUUACACUGUAAUCUCAAUUGGAAUUCCAGUGUAUUUUUCUUAGUGAGUGAAGUGUAAUUCUCAGUUGGUUUCCACUGUAAAUUGCAG
rnacentral:lncRNA from 1 species